rnacentral:rRNA from 1 species
AUUGAACGCUGGCGGCAUGCCUUACACAUGCAAGUCGAACGGCAGCACGGGAGCAAUCCUGGUGGCGAGUGGCGAACGGGUGAGUAAUAUAUCGGAACGUGCCCAGUCGUGGGGGGAUAACGUAGCGAAAGCUACGCUAAUACCGCAUACGAUCUACGGAUGAAAGCGGGGGAUCGCAAGACCUCGCGCGAUUGGAGCGGCCGAUAUCAGAUUAGGUAGUUGGUGGGGUAAAGGCUCACCAAGCCGACGAUCUGUAGCUGGUCUGAGAGGACGACCAGCCACACUGGGACUGAGAAACGGCCCAGACUCCUACGGGAGGCAGCAGUGGGGAAUUUUGGACAAGGGGCGCAAGCCUGAUCCAGCAAUGCCGCGUGCAGGAUGAAGGCCUUCGGGUUGUAAACUGCUUUUGUACGGAACGAAACGGCGAGCUCUAAUACAGUUUGCUAAUGACGGUACCGUAAGAAUAAGCACCGGCUAACUACGUGCCAGCAGCCGCCGUAA